CAUGGGCACAGGGAUAGGCGCACACACACACACACACACACACUCGUCACCACAGAAAAAAAAAUGCUAAGAAUCUGUAGAGCAGCGACAGAAAUGGUGCCAAGCCUGAGAGCCGUGGCAUGCAGGUGAAGAGAGGUUGAAAAGACUGCAUGGGUUUGAGGGGAGGUUGAAGAGACUGCAUGGGUUUGAGGGGAGGUUGAAGAGACUGCAUGGGUUUGAGGGGAGGUUGAACAGACUGCAUGGGUUUGAGGGGAGGUUGAACAGACUGCAUGGGUUUGAGGGGAGGUUGAACAGACUGCAUGGGUUUGAGGGGAGGUUGAACAGACUGCAUGGGUUUGAGGGGAGGUUGAACAGACUGCAUGGGUUUGAGGGGAGGUUGAAAAGACUGCAUGGGUUUGAGGGGAGGUUGAACAGACUGCAUGGGUUUGAGGGGAGGUUGAAAAGACUGCAUGGGUUUGAGGGGAGGUUGAAAAGACUGCAUGGGUUUGAGGGGAGGUUGAACAGACUGCAUGGGUUUGAGGGGAGGUUGAAGAGACUGCAUGGG